rnacentral:rRNA from 1 species
AACGAACGCUGGCGGCGUGCUUAACACAUGCAAGUCGAGCGGUAAGGCCCUUUCGGGGGUACACGAGCGGCGAACGGGUGAGUAACACGUGGGUGACCUGCCCUCAGCUCUGGGAUAAGCCCGGGAAACUGGGUCUAAUACUGGAUAUGACUCCACGGUGCAUGUCGUGGGGUGGAAAGCCUUGUGCGGCUGAGGAUGGGCCCGCGGCCUAUCAGCUUGUUGGUGGGGUGAUGGCCACCAAGGCGACGACGGGUAGCCGGCCUGAGAGGGCGACCGGCCACACUGGGACUGAGACACGGCCCAGACUCCUACGGGAGGCAGCAGUGGGGAAUCUUGCGCAAUGGCCGAAAGGCUGACGCAGCGACGCCGCGUGUGGGAGGACGCCUUCGGGUGUAA